rnacentral:rRNA from 1 species
GAGUUUGAUCAUGGCUCAGGAUGAACGCUAGCGGCAGGCUUAACACAUGCAAGUCGAGGGGUAUUCUAGCAAUAGGAGAGACCGGCGCACGGGUGCGUAACGCGUAUGCAAUCUACCUUUCACAGAGGGAUAGCCCAGAGAAAUUUGGAUUAAUACCUCAUAGUAUUAUGGAAUGGCAUCAUUUUAUAAUUAAAGUCACAACGGUGAAAGAUGAGCAUGCGUCCCAUUAGCUAGUUGGUAAGGUAACGGCUUACCAAGGCGACGAUGGGUAGGGGUCCUGAGAGGGAGAUCCCCCACACUGGUACUGAGACACGGACCAGACUCCUACGGGAGGCAGCAGUGAGGAAUAUUGGACAAUGGGCGCAAGCCUGAUCCAGCCAUGCCGCGUGCAGGAUGACGGUCCUAUGGAUUGUAAACUGCUUUUGCACAGGAAGAAACACCCCCUCGUGAGGGGGCUUGACGGUACUGUGAGAAUAAGGAUCGGCUAACUCCGUGCCAGCAGCCGCGGUACAACGGAGGAUCCAAGCGUUAUCCCGGAAUCAUU